UUCCCUCCGCCCCCCCGGCGCUGGGUGAUAGCCCGGGGUGCGGGGGGAGCGGGGCUGGCCCGGGUAUGGCUCUUAUCGGUGCUCCCAUAGGCUCCCUUCUCCGGAGGUGAUAAGAGAACGUGGAGAUAGGCUCAGAUGUUUUCAGUGCUCCACUGCGAAAAUAAACGGGUGAUAGAGAAUUCAGUUAAAUUAGCCGAAUUUAACGGUGUCUGCUUUAGUUGUUUAUAUCAUCUUAAAAAACGCGGCCGCCCUGCAAGGUCUCUCUCCUGCAAACCGGGCCCUUGAAUACUACAGCAAGUGCUUUGUGCUUCUGUGGCUCUCUCAACUCUCCUGCCAGGCAGAGCUGCUGCUUUUUCUUGGGGGUUAAUUUAUUCCAAUUUCAGAAGAACACCAGGUCGAGGUGGACACCUCCUGGAAUGCUUUUUCCAGUAGCUAGCUUUGGCCAUGGGUUGAAUAUUUAGCUCUCUCUUUGAGCAAUGUUCCUUGCAAAUCAAUCUUGCAUGAUGAAAAAACUAACACCAUAGCUACUGGCCAGGACCAAAGGCUUGAUAACUAAGGAUGUGGAGCACUGUGCCCAUGUCACAGGAUGGUGCUUGCCCAGGAGACUUGGUGCCUCAGGAUGUGAAGUGUCCCCGGGUGCAGCUGGGGCAGGAAUUCCCCAGGGUGGCUUUCCGAGGCCACAUCCGCUCCCUCCCCAAGCUGAUGGAGAUAACGCGCCCGGCCCGUGCAAGUAAGUCUCUCUGAAGCUGCUGCUCUUGCUCACUGCACAGGGAAUGAAAUUAAUAGUGUAUUUCCAGUCACAAGUAAGUCUCUCUGAAGCUGCUGCUGCUCUUGCUAACUGGCACAGGGAAUGUACUGGAGAAAGUUUUUUCUGCACUGUGCUGCAGUCUCUGGUGUGUUUUGUCAAAGUACAGUUGUGAUUGCUGUAUGGAAAUGGUUGUUUGCUGGAGGUUUUACUCCUGAAAUGAAAGCACAAUGUGAGAAGAGAGAAAGUGAGAGGAAUGCUUUGAUUUAGAACAUGUCUGUAAAGAAGGGAUUGCAUUGAACAUGCAGCUGUUGUGAAGGUGAUUUUUGGCUGUCAUUUAAUUAGCUGUAUUGAACUUAUCAAUGUAGUAGUCUUGAAUUAGCAAACAUCUCUGCAGCUCCAGUUCUGCUUAUUCCAUCCUUGUGGAACUAGAAUGUCGCUGUAAAGAACUUGCAUAUAAACUUACACUCCUUCACUUCUGUGGAAAGUGUACAGUGUUUGAGAGGGACUUUAAGGUGGCACCUCAGUAUAUCAGCAGGAAAGUUCAGUUUUAUUUGUGCAUUGUCUGCAGUAAUUCAUAGGUAUGUUACUUCAGGACAAUGGAACUGGUGCUGUGAACGUGGUAAAAAGCUGUAGUACAUCUCUAUCUGAACCACCUGGAAGAAAAUGUGCCCUAGCAAUUGCAAAAUCAAUACUGUAUUUCCAGUAACUAGUUCUACUGAAUUUUCUAUUCAGUUUGGGCUUCCUGUGUGCAGGAUGGUGUAUAAAGCCAGCAUGCCAAAGGGUCAAAUUUGGAAGGACAGUCUAAUGGGAAGGGUCUGAGUGAUAAUUGAGCAUAUAAAUGGAGAAUGAGAGAGAAGAUAGAAGCUCUUUAUAUAUAUAUAGAGAGAGGUCUUCUGAACAGAUCAAUUGUGAAAAAUUCACUGGUGGUAAAAUGAAGAUGCAUCUAAAAAAUAAUAACAGUCAAGCUGAAGAUUCAUUUAAAGUCACUGGUCUUUGUCAGG